rnacentral:lncRNA from 1 species
CGCGCUUCCUGCCCUCCCAGCGCUCUCGGGCAGUGCGCUCGCGCUCGCCCUCGGCUCUUGUUCCGCGCCCGGAGCCAGCGGCGGCGGCAGCGGCUGAGGCGGCUGCGGGAGCGGAGUGGUCGCCCAGCGCGCGGGGGGACGCGGGCUGCACUCCCGGGCAGGCGCUCUGCAAUGAGACAGUAAAUGCAUCCCCCGGUGCUGGGCUACCUGACUGCUAGCAGGGACUGAGGGAGGGCAUUUCUUGAAGAGUUACCCAGAUCCAGCUGCUUAUCUGCCCCUGGCCAUGGUUUAUGUUGUUGACUGAUUGCACCAGCUGCUGAGAGGUGGUUUUAUGUAGUGUGAGUAAUUGAAACUUGGUUCUAAGUUUCCCUCUUGUCCCUUCCUGUUUAAUGCAGUCAGCUGUCCUCGAAUUUAUUUUUUGGUGGUACUUUGAAUCAGCCCCCUGUGUGAGAAUUCAACAAAAACGCAA